rnacentral:piRNA from 1 species
UCCAGGAUGCUCAGCAUGGACCAAGGCUCCUA